UGUACUUAAAGGCAGCACAAUUACAGACAGACUUGAAAACAGGUGCGCGUUCUUCUCCUUCAAGCAUUCAGAUCUUCACCUCUGAAAUCAUGUCAGGUGUUGCUGCGGGCCUGCUGAGGACCGGGCGACUUCUCGCUCUGAGAAAAGCUGUGGUGCUGGUUCAGAAGAGACCUUACAUCCACAGUAAACCUGCUCAGCACAACGUGGGCGUCAUGGAGUCUGUGUUUGUCAUGAGUGUGCUGUCCGUGGCUGUCCUGGGGCCUUCUGGCUGGAUUAUGUCGCAGCUGGAUCAUUAUAAAGCCCGCGACUGAAGUUCUCAAAGGGCUGCUUAUUUAAUCUGACAGGAGCGAAAUAAAUGUUCUCGCCUUAC